AGGGGAUAUGGAUAGAGGUGAUGAGGAGAGAGAGAGAGAAGGGGAUAUGGAUAGAUAGGUGAUGGGGAGAGAGAGAAAAAGGGCAGGAUGAGAGAAAGAUGUGAGGAUUUUAUGAUGGUUCAAUGUGGGCCCUGUGAGUGUGAGAGUAUGUAUUGGUAAAUAAAGUUAGAGUAGCCAUUCUCUAUGGAUGUCCCUGAAAGUUGAAUAUCAUAGUGCCACAGCUAAGGAAUACGCCACACACACCUCAACCUGUGUUUUAGGGGAAAACAAUCAGAGGAAACCCAUAGUGUCCUCUUCAAUUUGUCAGUUUUGCCGUUCAGUAACAGUAUCAGAUAUCAAAGUUGAUCAGUUACUGAAAAGUGUGGAAGGGGGGGGGGGGGACUCAAAAUGGCACAGAGAAUACCCUUCCUAAAGUAGGUUGAUGUCAAAAGGACAGUAACAAUAUAAAACCAUACCAGAUGAGAAGGAGAGCGAAAAGGGGGAUGAGAGAAGGAAAGGAAGAUGGAAAAAUAAGACCAUUACAUAUUGUCAAGAGAUGAACGAAAUGGAUAAUGCAUGUGUGGUAACCACAAGACACUCCAUUAGUCAUAAUUCAAUUUACGACCUAGUCACCACUGACAUGUCACAUUUUGACUCAUAUGCUGAGUGGCACCAGAUAUUCCUACUAGUCAGCAGAGGGAGGAUUUAAGCGCUCGUCGCAACUGAACUCAACGCUCAUUCAGGUGAUAAUGAAUGUCGACAGUGCUUUCAUGUUUCCUCGCUUGCUGGAUAAAAAGUGCUGUCCCAUAUUUUUCUCCCCAGCACUGCGGGCUGUCAUGUCCGCCGACAGCCCUUUAAAAAUGGCCAAGAGAGGAGAGAGAAAGACAGAGACAGAAUGUCAGUAUCACCAGGGAGACUGCUGACUCCAGGGAGACUGUAAUCCCUGUAACUUUCCAGCUCUCCCCUCCUCGUCUCUCGCUCCGUUGUUGUUUUCCCUCAACAUACGCUCUCUGGGAUGUCAGUGGGCGGAGCUACGAGGAUGUCAGUGGGCGGAGCUACGAGGGUCGUCCGUGAAAUGGGACACACCUCUUCCCCCUCAAUACGUAGAGGAGACUCUCUCCACACAGGCAUACUGUUGUUUUUUUGGUUGUGGCCUUUUGGGGGAUUCUUUGCAUUGUAUUUGUUAUGGCACUCAUACUACACUGUUACCUAGAUAUAGUAAACAAAUAUAUUUAUUAAAUAAAGUUAUUUCUCCA